CUUUAGCCCCGGUUGAAGUGGCAUCCCGCCUCGUUUUUUCUGACGAGGCGGAUAGAGCGGAAAACGGGAACACGG
rnacentral:sRNA from 1 species